AGAUUAGAACGCUGGCGGCAUGCUUUACACAUGCAAGUCGAACGGCAGCACGGGGGCAACCCUGGUGGCGAGUGGCGAACGGGUGAGUAAUGCAUCGGGACGUAUCCGUUGAGUGGGGGAUAACGCAGCGAAAGUUGUGCUAAUACCGCAUAAGGCUCUGAGGAGGAAAGCGGGGGACCGAAAGGGCCUCGCGCUGAAGGAGUCGGCCGAUGUCCGAUUAGCUAGUUGGNGGGGUAACGGCUACCAAGGCGACGAUCGGUAGCUGGGUCUGAGA
rnacentral:rRNA from 1 species